rnacentral:rRNA from 1 species
AACUAACGCUGGCGGCGUGCCUAACACAUGCAAGUCGUACGAGAAAGUCCGCUUCGGUGGAUCAGUAAAGUGGCGCACGGGUGAGUAACGCGUGGAUAAUCUACCCCUCAGUUGGGAAUAACGUACCGAAAGGUGCGCUAAUACCGAAUGACACUGCACAUCUUCUGUUGUGUAGUCAAAGAUGGCCUCUGCUUGCAAGCUUUCGCUGAAGGAUGAGUACGCGUACCAUUAGCUAGUUGGUAGGGUAAUGGCCUACCAAGGCAAUGAUGGUUAGCUGGUCUGAGAGGAUGAUCAGCCACACUGGAACUGAGACACGGUCCAGACUCCUACGGGAGGCAGCAGUGAGGAAUAUUGCGCAAUGGGGGCAACCCUGACGCAGCAACGCCGCGUGAGUGAGGAAGGUUUUCGGACCGUAAAGCUCUGUCGAGCGGGAAGAAAUGCACGAUGGCUAAUAUCCAUCAUGCUUGACGGUACCGCUAAAGGAAGCACCGGCUAACUCCGUGCCAGCAGCCGCAGUAAUAC